AGCGUAGACGGACUGGCAAGUCUGAUGUGAAAGGCGGGGCUCAACCCUGGACUGCAUUGGAAACUGUUAGUCUUGAGUGCCGGAGAGGUAAGCGGAAUUCCUAGUGUAGCGGUGAAAUGCGUAGAUAUUAGGAGGAACACCAGUGGCGAAGGCGGCUUACUGGACGGUAACUGACGUUGAGGCUCGAAAGCGUGGGGAGCAAACAG
rnacentral:rRNA from 1 species